AGCGAACGCUGGCGGCAGGCUUAACACAUGCAAGUCGAGCGGGCAUCCUUGUGGUGUCAGCGGCAGACGGGUGAGUAACGCGUGGGAACGUGCCCUUCGGUUCGGAAUAACUCAGGGAAACUUGAGCUAAUACCGGAUACGUGCGAGAGCAGAAAGGUUUAUCUGCCGAAGGAUCGGCCCGCGUCUGAUUAGCUAGUUGGUGAGGUUAUGGCUCACCAAGGCGACGAUCAGUAGCUGGUCUGAGCGGAUGAUCAGCCACACUGGGACUGAGACACGGCCCAGACUCCUACGGGAGGCAGCAGUGGGGAAUAUUGGACAAUGGGGGCAACCCUGAUCCAGCCAUGCCGCGUGAGUGAUGACGGCCUUAGGGUUGUAAAGCUCUUUUCUCCGGGACGAUAAUGACGGUACCGGAGGAAUAAGCCCCGGCUAACUUCGUG
rnacentral:rRNA from 1 species